rnacentral:rRNA from 1 species
CCUACGGGAGGCUGCAGUGGGGAAUAUUGGGCAAUGGGCGCAAGCCUGACCCAGCAACGCCGCGUGAAGGAAGAAGGCUUUCGGGUUGUAAACUUCUUUUCUCAGGGACGAAGAAAGUGACGGUACCUGAGGAAUAAGCCACGGCUAACUACGGGCCAGCCGCCGCGUUAAUACGUAGGGGGCAAGCGUUAGACGGAUGUAUUGGGUGUAAAGGGCGUGAAGGCGGGAGCGCAAGUGAGAUGUGAAAACUCAGGGCUCAACCCUGGGCCUGCAUUUGAUACUGUGUUUCUUGAGUGCUGUAGAGGCAAUCAGAAUUCCGUGUGUAGCGGUGAAAUGCGUAGAGAUACGGAGGAACACCAGUGACGAAGGCGGAUUGUUGGAAAGUAACUGACGCUGAGGCGCGAAAGCGUGGGGAGCAAACAGGAUUAGAUACCCGAGUAGUC